rnacentral:tRNA from 1 species
CCAAAAAUAAAGAUUAAGCUUUUUUUAGAA